rnacentral:tRNA from 1 species
UGUAAACCUGAAAUGAAGAUACUCUCUUCUCAAGACA